rnacentral:rRNA from 1 species
AGGGUGACAGCCCCGUACACAAAAAUGCACAUGCUGUGAGCUCGAUGAGUAGGGCGGGACACGUGGUAUCCUGUCUGAAUAUGGGGGGACCAUCCUCCAAGGCUAAAUACUCCUGACUGACCGAUAGUGAACCAGUACCGUGAGGGAAAGGCGAAAAGAACCCCGGCGAGGGGAGUGAAAAAGAACCUGAAACCGUGUACGUACAAGCAGUGGGAGCCUCUUAAUGGGGUGACUGCGUACCUUUUGUAUAAUGGGUCAGCGACUUAUAUUCUGUAGCAAGGUUAACCGAAUAGGGGAGCCGAAGGGAAACCGAGUCUUAACUGGGCGUUAAGUUGCAGGGUAUAGACCCGAAACCCGGUGAUCUAGCCAUGGGCAGGUUGAAGGUUGGGUAACACUAACUGGAGGACCGAACCGACUAAUGUUGAAAAAUUAGCGGAUGACUUGUGGCUGGGGGUGAAAGGCCAAUCAAACCGGGAGAUAGCUGGUUCUCCCCGAAAGCUAUUUAGGUAGCGCCUCGUGAAUUCAUCUCCGGGGGUAGAGCACUGUUUCGGCAAGGGGGUCAUCCCGACUUACCAACCCGAUGCAAACUGCGAAUACCGGAGAAUGUUAUCACGGGAGACACACGGCGGGUGCUAACGUCCGUCGUGAAGAGGGAAACAACCCAGACCGCCAGCUAAGGUCCCAAAGUCAUGGUUAAGUGGGAAACGAUGUGGGAAGGCCCAGACAGCCAGGAUGUUGGCUUAGAAGCAGCCAUCAUUUAAAGAAAGCGUAAUAGCUCACUGGUCGAGUCGGCCUGCGCGGAAGAUGUAACGGGGCUAAACCAUGCACCGAAGCUGCGGCAGCGACGUUUAUGCGUUGUUGGGUAGGGGAGCGUUC